rnacentral:rRNA from 1 species
UACGUAGGGGGCUAGCGUUGUCCGGAUUUAUUGGGCGUAAAGAGCGUGUAGGCGGCCAGGUAGGUCCGCUGUGAAAGUCCGAGGCUCAACCUCGGAAUGUCGGCGGAAACCCUCUGGCUAGAGUCCGGAAGAGGAGAGUGGAAUUCCCGGUGUAGCGGUGAAAUGCGCAGAUAUCGGGAAGAACACCCGUGGCGAAGGCGGCUCUCUGGGCCUUACCUGACGCUGAGGCGCGAAAGCUAGGGGAGCGAACAGG